rnacentral:rRNA from 1 species
UACGAAGGGGGGCUAGCGUUGCUCGGAAUCACUGGGCGUAAAGCGCACGUAGGCGGCUUUUUAAGUCAGGGGUGAAAUCCUGGAGCUCAACUCCAGAACUGCCUUUGAUACUGAAGAUCUUGAGUCCGGGAGAGGUGAGUGGAACUGCGAGUGUAGAGGUGAAAUUCGUAGAUAUUCGCAAGAACACCAGUGGCGAAGGCGGCUCACUGGCCCGGUACUGACGCUGAGGCACGAAAGCGUGGGGAGCAAACAGGG